UCCAGACUCCUACGGGAGGCAGCAGUGGGGGAUAUUGCACAAUGGGGGGAACCCUGAUGCAGCGACGCCGCGUGGGUGAAGAAGCGCCUCGGCGCGUAAAGCCCUGUCAGCAGGGAAGAAAAUGACGGUACCUGAAGAAGAAGCCCCGGCUAACUACGUGCCAGCAGCCGCGGUAAUACGUAGGGGGCAAGCGUUAUCCGGAUUUACUGGGUGUAAAGGGAGCGUAGACGGAAAGGCAAGUCAGAAGUGAAAGCCCAAGGCUCAACCAUGGGACUGCUUUUGAAACUGUCAAACUAGAGUACGGGAGAGGUAAGGGGAAUUCCUAGCGUAGCGGUGAAAUGCGUAGAUAUUAGGAGGAACACCAGUGGCGAAGGCGUCUUACUGGACCGAAACUGACGUUGAGGCUCGAAAGCGUGGGGAGCAAACAGGAUUAGAUACCCUGGUA
rnacentral:rRNA from 1 species